AGAUUGAACGCUGGCGGCAUGCCUUACACAUGCAAGUCGAACGGUAACAGGUCUUCGGAUGCUGACGAGUGGCGAACGGGUGAGUAAUACAUCGGAACGUGCCCGAGAGUGGGGGAUAACGGAGCGAAAGCUUUGCUAAUACCGCAUACGAUCUACGGAUGAAAGCAGGGGACCGCAAGGCCUUGCGCUCAUGGAGCGGCCGAUGGCAGAUUAGGUAGUUGGUGGGAUAAAAGCUUACCAAGCCGACGAUCUGUAGCUGGUCUGGAGAGGACGACCAGCCACACUGGGACUGAGACACGGCCCAGACUCCUACGGGAGCAGCAGUGGGAAUUUGGACAAUGGGCGCAAGCCUGAUCCAGCCAUGCCGCGUGCAGGAUGAAGGCCUUCGGUGUAAACUGCUUUUGACGGAACGAAAGACUCUAGGUUAAUACCUGGGUCCAUCGUACGUACCGUAAGAAUAAGCGACCGCUAACUACGUGCCAGCAGACCCG
rnacentral:rRNA from 1 species